ACCUGGGCUCGAACGUAAGAUGACUGUAGGUGAAAGCUUACAUCUCUUCGGAGCAUUUUACGAGGUGCUGCAUGGUUGUCGUCAGCUCGUGCCGUGGGGUGUCGGGUUAAGUCCCAUAACGAGCGCAACCCUACCUUUAGUUGCCAUCAGGUAAUGCUGGGGACUCUAAAGGAACUGCCUACGCAAGUAGUGAGGAAGGCGGGGAUGACGUCAAAUCAGCACGGCCCUUACGUCCAGGGCUACACACGUGCUACAAUGGCCGAUACAGAGGGCAGCUACCUGGUGACAGGAUGCAAAUCUCCAAAGUCGGUCUCAGUUCGGAUCGGAGUCUGCAACCCGACUCCGUGAAGUUGGAUUCGCUAGUAAUCGCGCAUCAGCCAUGGCGCGGUGAAUACGUUCCCGGGCCUU
rnacentral:rRNA from 1 species